AGGAUACCUUGCAGGAGUUGGUUCUCUCCUUCCACCGACAUACCUAUGAUGUAGAACCACCUCAUCUACACCAGCGAGGCACCUUUUGAGAAAGUGGUUCUCCCAGCACCAGCCCUCAAAGUGAAAGCUCUCAUCUCUUGGGAUCCUGCCAUCUCCUGCAGUGUUCUCCAGCCCUGACCUCUGCCCCACGUGGGUUUCCUCAGCCUUAGUCACAGCCAAGCAUAUCUGCUUUGGGACUUCCACAUAGGGUUCUGGGGACUGAACUCAGGCCAGCAUUUUCCUGACCGAGCCACCCUCCCCAGACCUACGGCCUUCCUGCUAAGAACACCAGUCAUGGGAUGAGACCCUAAGACUUCUUCAGUUGAUCACCUCUGUAAGGCUCCGCCCCCAGGGCUGAAGAGGUGAUUAAGAGCAUGCAGGAGAUCUGAGAAGGUGCUGUUGGAGCUGCUUCCCUCUGUCACUGCACAAGGCUCUCUGGAACCAACGAACUGAGAGAGCGAUGCACCCUAGAAGCCAAGUGGCUUGGAAAACGCAUUUAGGCUCAAACAAAAGGCACCAAUUGAACAAAACCAGCAAGACACGGCACUAAUUGGCAGCCACACUCUGUUUCCCCCCCUCCAGCUGCCUCUAGAAUCAGAAAACAACCGUUCGAGUGAAAGCCAUGAAAUUAAAAUACUUUUUAAA
rnacentral:lncRNA from 1 species